AGCGAACGCUGGCGGCAGGCUUAACACAUGCAAGUCGAACGAACCCUUCGGGGUUAGUGGCGGACGGGUGAGUAACACGUGGGAACGUGCCUUUAGGUUCGGAAUAACUCAGGGAAACUUGUGCUAAUACCGAAUGUGCCCUUCGGGGGAAAGAUUUAUCGCCUUUAGAGCGGCCCGCGUCUGAUUAGCUAGUUGGUGAGGUAAUGGCUCACCAAGGCUACGAUCAGUAGCUGGUCUGAGAGGAUGACCAGCCACAUUGGGACUGAGACACGGCCCAAACUCCUACGGGAGGCAGCAGUGGGGAAUUUUGCGCAAUGGGCGAAAGCCUGACGCAGCCAUGCCGCGUGGAUGAUGAAGGUCUUAGGAUUGUAAAAUCCUUUCACCGGUGAAGAUAAUGACUGUAGCCGGAGAAGAAGCCCCGGCUAACUUCGUGCCAGCCGCCGCGGUAAAAC
rnacentral:rRNA from 1 species